GUUUGAUCCUGGCUCAGGAUGAACGCUAGCGGCAGGCUUAAUACAUGCAAGUCGAGGGGCAGCAGGUUUGUAGCAAUACAAAUGCUGGCGACCGGCAAACGGGUGCGGAACACGUACACAACCUUCCUUUAAGUGGGGAAUAGCCCAGAGAAAUUUGGAUUAAUACCCCGUAACAUUAUGAUGUGGCAUCACAUUAUAAUUAUAGCUCAGGCGCUUAAUGAUGGGUGUGCGGCUGAUUAGAUAGUUGGCGGGGUAACGGCCCACCAAGUCUGCGAUCAGUAACUGGUGUGAGAGCACGACCAGUCACACGGGCACUGAGACACGGGCCCGACUCCUACGGGAGGCAGCAGUAAGGAAUAUUGGGCAAUGGAGGCAACUCUGACCCAGCCAUGCCGCGUGGAGGAUGAAGGUCCUCUGGAUUGUAAACUUCUUUUAUAUGGGACGAAAAAGGGCCUUUCCAGGUCAACUGACGGUACCAUAUGAAUAAGCACCGGCUAACUCCGUGCCAGCAGCCGCGGUAAUACGGAGGGUGCAAGCGUUAUCCGGAUUCACUGGGUUUAAAGGGUGCGUAGGUGGGUUGGUAAGUCAGUGGUGAAAUCCCCGAGCUUAACUUGGGAACUGCCAUUGAUACUAUCAGUCUUGAAUAUUGUGGAGGUCAGCGGAAUAUGUCAUGUAGCGGUGAAAUGCUUAGAUAUGACAUAGAACACCAAUUGCGAAGGCAGCUGGCUACUCAUAUAUUGACACUGAGGCACGAAAGCGUGGGGAUCAAACAGGAUUAGAUACCCUGGUAGUCCACGCCCUAAACUAUGGAUACUCGACAUUUGCGAUACACAGCAAGUGUCUGAGCGAAAGCAUUAAGUAUCCCACCUGGGAAGUACG
rnacentral:rRNA from 1 species